GCCUACUCAAUAUCCAUUUAUCCCUUCUUCCUGCUAGUAGAUGUCGUUUUUCUUCAAGGCGGAAAUGUGCCUAGCCCCAGAGGUAUCAAGCACGGAAAAGGACCAAGGGUCACAGAGACUCUGACCUGGUCUUCAAGCUCCUCAACCAGUGCCAACAGCUGCCUAUCUCCAGACUUCUUUUCAGAUGGCACUAAAUAUCUAGAGGAAAGACUGACAGCUGCUACGACUGAGGCAACAGUCAAUGCUGUGGAAGAUCAGAGGCAAGCCAAGAGGAUAUCGUUACCCUUUCUCCAAGAGGCUGGAGAAGACAUCAUGGAAGAAAUGGAAUUCUCAUAAUUUUGCUGUUUUCAACUCUUCUGCUAACAGGUGAAAACAUUUGUCAGGGUGGAAGUCAAACUAUGCUCUGGCUUACUUCUGGUCAAAGGUGAAAGACAGAAAACAACUGUGCUUUAUAUGAAGAAAUACGCAGGAGACAAGUGCAAACACUUCUUCUUGUCCACGCCUUGCUUAUUUUAGCGGGGAGCAAGACAGUUGGGAAACCAUGCAUACAUGGGCUGGCUGGGGAUGGCCUUUGAAACGAAGCCUUUGCAGCCAGCGUGUGCAUUUUAAACAACUGCACCAGGAUUCAUUUAUCUCCUUUUCCUAUUUGCAAAGCCUCGGCUGAGCAGAUCUGCUGGUUCUGUUAGAGAAAAGCGACUUCCUGAGACGUGAUGUAA
rnacentral:lncRNA from 1 species